CGCGAGACGGGCAGAGAUUGAAAGAAUGCGGAAGCGAUCCCAAGAGUUCUAUCAUACUAAUCCCUUUGGCCAUGAGCUCCGAACUACUCCAUCAAGCCCCAGUGCACCGGAGAAUUCUUUUUUCCCCCAACUGUUCCCUUUGGAGGUAGCCAGCUACUUCACGAGCCAGUACGGCUUCAAAUGACUCAUGACUGAAGAAGGCAUCAGCAUCCACUACAACUGGACGUACGUGGAAUAUUCUGGAAUGAGGUAACGGCAUCAUUAGGAGACGUCUGCUGACAGUUUUGGACAUUCCCCAGUGAGGACUUAGCAACACUGAAUGUAGCCUGUCUAAUUUUCAAUACUUUUUGGCAUUAGCACAUAGAAUUAGACAGCCCAGAGGACUUCACCAUGGAUUGGAAAAACUUUGGAUUAUUUU